rnacentral:sRNA from 1 species
AUAUAUAAGCCAUGGCUUAAUUUCGAAAAGUUAUCAAACAGUUCUCAGCCCUCCAAGUGAAAACUUGCAAUAGUCACACCACAUCAAAAGAAAAAUAAAAAUGUUCAAAUACAUCGCUGCUGUCUUUGCCCUCCUGUUGGCUGUUGCCGCUGCCCUGCCAGCCCCAGUACCUGCUCCUGCCCCAGCUCCUGGACCUUCGCCCAGUCUAUAUCCUUAUUUCCCUGGACCCUAUGUGGUGGGACCUCAUGUCUUGGGUGCUCCUGUUGUUAAAGUGCUCUCUCCCUAUGGUCCCUUCGUCCAUGGACCCGUUGUUGUCGGUUAAAUUAUAGCGAAGCCAACCUGCCCAUAAAUAACAAACAUCUGCUGCCCCUUCCAACCUGAAUGCCUUUGUUUAUGAACUUUGACUUUUGGAGAUUCCUUUGUGAACGUCCAUCGUGUACCCUGUGUAUUUUGUGAACAUUUUUCAUUUUAAUUUCAUUUACUUUUUGUUUUUUCUAAUCAUUCUAUUGUGCUCUUCAUUAACCUUCAUUUUCUAGUUUUGCUAAAUGGCAAAACAUAAAAAUGUAAAAAAUUAAAAGAAAAAUAUAAUUUUUGUAUGCAACUUCA